CACGUAGGCGGAUCUUUAAGUCAGGGGUGAAAUCCCGGAGCUCAACUCCGGAACUGCCUUUGAUACUGAGGAUCUUGAGUCCGGGAGAGGUGAGUGGAACUGCGAGUGUAGAGGUGAAAUUCGUAGAUAUUCGCAAGAACACCAGUGGCGAAGGCGGCUCACUGGCCCGGUACUGACGCUGAGGUGCGAAAGCUGGGAGCAAACA
rnacentral:rRNA from 1 species